AGCAGCGUGGCUCAGUGGAAAGAGCCCGGGCUUGGGAGUCAUGGGUUCGAAUCCCAGCUCUGCCA
rfam:Ornithorhynchus anatinus chromosome 10, whole genome shotgun sequence.